rnacentral:piRNA from 1 species
UGCCACCAUUACAAUGGCCUCUCAGCUUCU